UGGGGAAUAUUGCACAAUGGGCGCAAGCCUGAUGCAGCCAUGCCGCGUGUGUGAAGAAGGCCUUCGGGUUGUAAAGCACUCUCAGCGAGGAGGAAGGUGGUGGACUUAAUACGUUCAUCAAUUGACGUUACUCGCAGAAGAAGCACCGGCUAACUCCGUGCCAGCAGCCGCGGUAAUACGGAGGGUGCAAGCGUUAAUCGGAAUUACUGGGCGUAAAGCGCACGCAGGCGGUUUGUUAAGUCAGAUGUGAAAUCCCCGGGCUCAACCUGGGAACUGCAUUUGAAACUGGCAAGCUAGAGUCUCGUAGAGGGGGGUAGAAUUCCAGGUGUAGCGGUGAAAUGCGUAGAGAUCUGGAGGAAUACCGGUGGCGAAGGCGGCCCCCCUGGACGAAGACUGACGCUCAGGUGCGAAAGCGUGGGGCAGCAAACAGGAUUAGAUACCCUGGUAGUCCAGCGCUGUAAACGAUGUCGAUUUGGAGGUUGUGCCCUUGAGGCGUGGCUUCCGGAGCUAACGCGUUAAAUCGACCGCC
rnacentral:rRNA from 1 species